rnacentral:rRNA from 1 species
GGAGGAAAGAAACCAACAGGGAUUACCUUAGUAACGGCGAGUGAAGCGGUAAUAGCUCAAAUUUGAAAUCUUACUCUUUUAGAGUACGAAUUGUAAUUUGUAGAGGAUGUUUUUGAGUAAUAUCAAUCUAAGUUUCUUGGAACAGAACGUCAUAGAGGGUGAGAAUCCCGUAUGUGAUUGAUUAAUUCUCUAUACAAAACUCCUUCGAAGAGUCGAGUUGUUUGGGAAUGCAGCUCUAAAUGGGAGGUAAAUUUCUUCUAAAGCUAAAUAUUUGCCAGAGACCGAUAGCGCACAAGUAGAGUGAUCGAAAGAUGAAAAGCACUUUGAAAAGAGAGUUAAAAAGCACGUGAAAUUGUUGAAAGGGAAGCGUUUGAGAUUAGACUUGUUGAUGAUAUUCGCUUGGUUCUUGAACUGAGUUAUUUAUUAUUUACAGGCCAACAUCAUUUUCGUCUAUCGGAUAAUUGCUUAAGAAUGUAGCUCCUCGGAGUAUUAUAGCUUAAGUCGAUACGAUAAGAUGGGAGUGAGGUCCGCGAGAAAUCUAGGAUGUUGGCGUAAUGAUCUUAAACGGCCCGUCUUGAAACACGGACCAAGGAGUCGAUCAAUUAUGCGAGUUUUCGGGUGUUAAACCCUUAAGCGUAAUGAAAGUGAACGGAGGUGAGAGCUUAGGCGCAUCAUCGACCGAUCCUGAUGUCUUCGGAUGGAUUUGAGUAAGAGCAUAAUUGAUCGGACCCGAAAGAUGGUGAACUAUGCGUGAAUAGGGUGAAGCCAGAGGAAACUCUGGUGGAGGCUCGCAGCGGUUCUGACGUGCAAAUCGAUCGUCAAAUUUGCGUAUAGGGGCGAAAGACUAAUCGAACCAUUAAGUAACUACUAGGUGGUUAAGAGGGACGUAAAAGGCGAGCCCUAGUCUUGGUAAUUGGAAGGGGAAUUAUCGAGGCGACACCUUCAAAUUGUUCGGGAACCUCCUAAAGCUCAAUAGACCAAAUCGACGUAGAAAUACAG